rnacentral:lncRNA from 1 species
CUGAAGAGCCAGAACGUGGACCACUGUUCCACUCUUCUUUUUGACUCCUAAGACAUAAGCCACUGAGCUGUACCAUAAUCUGCUGACCAUACCAUGUGUUGGUUGCCUGGAGCAGGGGCAAGCUUUUCUCUUUUGUUUUUAGUGGCCUCCAGGACUCUAAAGUAUGCAGGUCUUAUCAGUUCUCCAAGACAGGCUUUUUGUACUGCAAGGUUGGAAAAACAUGGGUCUAUUCCUUGAACAG